UACGGAGGGUGCAAGCGUUAAUCGGAAUUACUGGGCGUAAAGCGUACGUAGGCGGCUUGUUAAGCAAGAUGUGAAAUCCCCGGGCUCAACCUGGGAAUGGCAUUUUGAACUGGCAGGCUCGAGUUCUGAAGAGGGUGGUAGAAUUUCCAGUGUAGCGGUGAAAUGCGUAGAUAUUGGAAGGAAUACCGGUGGCGAAGGCGGCCACCUGGUCAGAAACUGACGCUCAUGCACGAAAGCGUGGGGAGCAAACAGG
rnacentral:rRNA from 1 species